UAUUGGUGGUAUUGGUGGUGAGGGAGGGUGGGGGGUCCUCAUGAAGAGAGAGGCAGAAGGAGGGGGCAGAAGACUAGGCUGCUGUUGUUUGCUAUGAAAAGGAGCCUUGUUGGCUGGAUUUCUAGUCCGUCUGCUAGAGAACCAGAGAGGAAGCGAAACAGAGGAAACGGGGAAAGAGAGAUAGAAGAAAAAGCAGAAGAGGAAGGAGGAAGGAGUGAUGAAAGAUUAGUGAGACAGGAGAGAAAGACAGAGAGCUGGAGAGAUAUGUUUUUAAAAAAAAGGGCCGAUUAAAACAUUGGAAAGGAGAAAGAAAUUGGGAGGAGAAAUUACCAUUUCUCUCUUUUAGGAUUCAUUGAUGCAAAUAACAGAGUCAGCAGAAGCAGAGCAGGUGAAACACAGAGACAGAGAGGAGACAGAAAAGACAAUAAUCAAAGGCUAAAUCCACUGAAUCUACAGCUCUCUGGAGACUCCACUGACAAGUUAGAUCCACUCUCUCUCCUUCCCUCUUUUCAUUCUGAUGAAGAGAACGCCAUCGUCAUCUCUCCAAAAAGACGGGGUUGGCGUUGACCGCGUCAUCGAACCACAGGAUGUACAGACAGAACAAACCCACAAUCAGAGCGUGCACAGUCGACACCAACCUGAGGAUGGACACAAACGCACAAGAUCAGAUAAUAAUAAACAUGAGGCUAAGAGGAGUUUACAGGCAGGAAGUGUAACAAAUGGGUAACGGCGUGCAUACGUCUCUGCUGUCUUGCUUACGUGUCUGUUCAUUCUUGUAUACAGUAUAAAAUAAAAUCUACGUUGUCCCGUG